rnacentral:rRNA from 1 species
AGUGAACGCUGGCGGUAGGCCUAACACAUGCAAGUCGAACGGCAGCACAGUAAGAGCUUGCUCUUACGGGUGGCGAGUGGCGGACGGGUGAGGAAUACAUCGGAAUCUACUUUUUCGUGGGGGAUAACGUAGGGAAACUUACGCUAAUACCGCAUACGACCUACGGGUGAAAGCAGGGGAUCUUCGGACCUUGCGCGAUUGAGUGAGCCGAUGUCGGAUUAGCUAGUUGGCGGGGUAAAGGCCCACCAAGGCGACGAUCCGUAGCUGGUCUGAGAGGAUGAUCAGCCACACUGGAACUGAGACACGGUCCAGACUCCUACGGGAGGCAGCAGUGGGGAAUAUUGGACAAUGGGCGCAAGCCUGAUCCAGCCAUACCGCGUGGGUGAAGAAGGCCUUCGGGUUGUAGAGCCCUUUUGUUGGGAAAGAAAAGCAGCAGGUUAAUACCCCGCUGUUCUGACGGUACCCAAAGAAUAAGCACCGGCUAACUUCGUG